UCGAGGAGCAUUUUUGAAUGUGGUGCAUUGAGCACCUACUGUACUCCAGGUCCCCCGUGGUAUUAUGUCAUUUGCUAUAAUCCUCACAGAAGCACUGCCAGAGACUCCACUGAGCCCAAGACUGCACAGAGCACAGCAAGGACUCGGCCGACUCUCUGUCUCCGAAGCCUGACCCCCUCCAUGACCUCUCGCUGCCAUCCAGCAAAGGUUCCAACUGCCCUCCCCACCUCUCCAUCCCCUUCCAGAACAGUAGCUGUUCUACACGCGUCCUGCCUGCUGCCCAGCUGCCCAGUGCUGCACCCUCCUCAAAGACUUGCAGCCAGGCCUAGGGGCGCAUGCCUGUGAUCCCAGCACUCUGGAGGCUGAGACAGGAGCAUCACUGCGAGUUUGACGCCAGCCUGGACCUAUAGAGUGAAUGGACCAUGGUGCCUGGUUUGUUCCAGCAGAGCAGACUGAUGAGCUGGGAGGUCCAGAUGACACCGGAGCUGCCCUGCCUCUGCUGGGGACUGCAAGUUAGCAAGGGGAGGCUGAGGGUGGUGUCUGUCCCUGCCCAGCAGCCCGGCUGUCAGCCCAGGGUCACAGAAAGAGACAGAUGGGUCUAUAAGGAGCUCCUUGUCCCUGGGAACAGUCAAGCAGAAGGUGACACCGCCCCUUGUGGACUUUGUCCAGGGACACCUCUGUGUUGGCAGGGUGCACUAGCUGAGAGCACACUUGGUCUCUGUCGCCCGCACUUUCCCGCCCCUUGAUGCUAGGCGGCAGGCAUGGGGUGAAGUCCACGGUGGCUCUUGAAGAUUCCAGCCUGAAAACCCGAAGGAAGGAAGGAAAAGGCAGGGGACCACGUGCUGAAAUCUCAAGAGCUGUCGUGUCUGGAUGAUGGGCAAGUAGGCUUGGGUGCACUAUACUGUGUAUUGGCUCAUAUAUAAAAUGGUCACAAUGAAAAUUAAAAUGAUUUCAUUAUUUGAAUAGGUCAUGAAUGCCUGGGAUGAAAG